AACAUAUCUGGGGGGCAUUUCCUUGUCAAAUCCUUGAAUCUUUCCCAGGCUUCGUAGAGGGUUUCACCAUCUUGCUGUCUGAAUGUCUGCACCUCAGUCCUCAUCCU